GACGAACGCUGGCGGCGUGCUUAACACAUGCAAGUCGAACGGAAAGGCCCCUUUGGGGGUACUCGAGCGGCGAACGGGUGAGUAACACGUGAGUAACCUGCCCUUGACUUCGGGAUAACUUCAGGAAACUGGGGCUAAUACCGGAUAGGAAUCCUUGCUGCAUGGUGGGGGUUGGAAAGCUUCGGCGGUUUUGGAUGGACUCGCGGCUUAUCAGCUUGUUGGUGGGGUAGUGGCUUACCAAGGCUUUGACGGGUAGCCGGCCUGAGAGGGCGACCGGCCACAUUGGGACCUAGGUAAGGCCCAGACUCCGACGGGAGGCAGCAGUGGGGAAUAUUGCACAAGGGGCGGAGGCCUGAUGCAGCAACGCCGCGGGCGGGAUGACGGCCUUCGUGUUGUAAACCGAUUUCAGCAGGGGCGAAGCUUGUGGUGACGGUACCUGCAGAAGAAGCACCGGCUAACUACGUG
rnacentral:rRNA from 1 species